GCGAAUGAAGCGUAUACGGUGGAUGCCUAAGCAGUCAAAGGCGAUGAAAGGACGUGCUAAUCUGCGAAAAGCGUCGGUAAGUUGAUAUGAAGCGUACUAGCCGGCGAUGUCCGAAUGGGAAAACCCAGUGCAUUAAUGCGCUAUCGUUUGAUGAAUUCAUAGUCAAACGAGGCAAACCGGGGGAACUAAAACAUCUCAGGAACCCGAAGAAAAGAAAUCAACCGAGAUUCCCCCAGUAGCGGGGAGCGAACGGGGAGCAGCCCAGAGUCAACAUCAAUAUUUACCGCAGGAGAAGGGUCUGGAAAGGCCGGCAACAAAGGGUGAUAGCCCCCCGUAUCUGAAACGGUAAGUGUUGUGAACUCGAAGAGUAGGGCGGGACACGUGUUAUCCUGUUUGAAUAUGGGGGGACCAUCCUCCAAGGCUAAAUACUCCUGACUGACCGAUAGUGAACCAGUACCGUGAGGAAAAGGUAAAAAAACCCCGGCGAGGGGAGUAAAAUAGAACCUGAAACUCUGUACGUACAAGCAGUGGGAGCACCCGAAAGGGUGUGACUGCGUACCUUUUUUAUAUGCGUACCUUUUGUAUAAAAGGUCAGCGACUUAUAUUCUGUAGCACGGUUAACCGGAUAGAGAAGCCGUAGGGAAACCGACUCUUAACUGGGCGUUAAGUUCCAGGGUAUAGACCCGAAACCCGGUGAUCUAGCCAUGGGCAGGUUGAAGGUUGGGUAACACUAACUGGAGGACCGAACCGACUAAUGUUGAAGAAUUAGCGGAUGACUUGUGGCUAGGGUGAAAGGCCAAUCAAACCGGGAGAUAGCUGGUUCUCCCCGAAAGCUAUUUAGGUGGCGCCUCGUGAAUUCAUCUUCGGGGGGUAGAGCACUGCUUCGGCUAGGAGGUCAUCCCGACUUACCAACCCGAUGCAAACUACAAAUACCGAAGAAUGUUAUCACGGGAGACACACGGCGGGUGCUAACGUCCCUCGUGAAGAGGGAAACAACCUAAACCGCUAGCUAAGGUCCCCAAGUUAUGGUUAAGUGGCAAAAGAAGUGGGAAGGCUUAGACAGCCAGGAUGUUGGCUUAGAAGCAGCCAUCAUUUAAAGAAAGCGUAAUAACUCACUGGUCAAGUCGGCCUCCGCAGAAGAUAUAACGGCGCUAAACCAUGCACCGAAGCUGCGGCAGCGACAUUUAGAUGUCGCUGGGUAGGGGAGCGUUCUGUAAGCAGUAGAAGAUGGACUGAGAAAUCUGCUAGAGGUAUCAGAAGUGCGAAUGCUGACAUAAGUAACGAUAAAGCGGGUGAAAAACCCGCUCGCCGAAAGACCAAGGUUUCCUGUCCAACGUUAAUCGGGGCAGGGUAAGUCGCGACCCCUAAGGCGAGGCUGAAAAGCGUAGUCGAUGGGAAACAGGUUAAUAUUCCCGUACUAAGGGUUACUGCGAAGGGAGGACAAAGAAGGCUAGGCUAUCCGGGCGACGGUUGUCCCGGUGUAAGCGAGUAGGUGAGUAGUGCAGACAAAUCCGCACUGCUACAAUACUGAGACGUGAUGACGAGCCACCAAGGUGGUCAAGUAGUUGAUGCCCAGCUUCUAGGAAAAGCCUCUAAGCGAUAGGUAAUCAUUAAUCCUACCCCAAACCGACACAGGUGGUUAGGUAGAGAAUACUCAAGCGCUUGAGAGAAUUCGGGUGAAGGAACUAGGCAAAAUGGUGCCGUAACUUCGGGAAAAGGCACGCUGGC
rnacentral:rRNA from 1 species